rnacentral:rRNA from 1 species
GGCUAGGCCCUACCACCCUGACUGUGCCUGAUCUCGUCUAAUCUCGGAAGCUAAGCAAGGUCGGGCCUGGUUAUUACUUGGGUGGGAUACCGCCCUGGAAUACUGGGUGCUGUAGGCU